rnacentral:rRNA from 1 species
CGUAACGCGUAUGCAACCUACCUUAUACUGGGGUAUAGCCCGGAGAAAUUCGGAUUAAUCCCCCAUAGUACUGUUUGAUCGCAUGGUUGAACAGUUAAAGCAUUGCGGUAUAAGAUGGGCAUGCGUCCUAUUAGCUAGAUGGUGAGGUAACGGCUCACCAUGGCUACGAUAGGUAGGGGGCCUGAGAGGGUGGUCCCCCACACUGGUACUGAGACACGGACCAGACUCCUACGGGAGGCAGCAGUGAGGAAUAUUGGUCAAUGGGCGCAAGCCUGAACCAGCCAUGCCGCGUGCAGGAAGAAUGCCCUAUGGGUUGUAAACUGCUUUUAUUUGGGAAUAAACCUCUUUACGUGUAGAGAGCUGAAGGUACCAAAUGAAUAAGCACCGGCUAACUCCGUGCCAGCAGCCGCGGUAAUACGGAGGGUGCAAGCGUUAUCCGGAAUCAUUGGGUUUAAAGGGUCCGCAGGCGGAUUUAUAAGUCAGUGGUGAAA